AGAAAAUAGAUACCCAGGUAGUCCACGCCGUAAACUAUGAUUACUAGGUGUCCGGGAUGUUAACCUCCUGGGUACCGAAAGCUCACGCAUUAAGUAAUCCGCCUGGGGAGUACGGUCGCAAGACUAAAACUCAAAGGAAUUGACGGGGGCCCGCACAAGCGGUGGAGUAUGUGGUUUAAUUCGAAGCAACGCGCAGAACCUUACCUGGGCUUAACAUCCCCUGACAUCCACAGAGAUGUGGCUUCUCCUUCGGGAGCAGGGAGAUAGGUGCUGCAUGGCUGUCGUCAGCUCGUGUCGUAAGAUGUUGGGUUAAGUCCCGCAACGAGCGCAACCCUUGUUCUUAGUUGCCACCAUUAAGUUGGGCACUCUGAGAAGACUGCCGGUGUUAAACCGGAGGAAGGCGGGGAUGACGUCAAGUCCUCAUGGCCCUUACGUCCAGGGCUGCACACGUACUACAAUGGCAGAGACAAAGGGUCGCGAAGCCGCGAGGUGGAGCUAAUCCCAAAAACACUGUCUCAGUCCGGUAUUGAAGCCUGCAGCUCGAC
rnacentral:rRNA from 1 species